rnacentral:rRNA from 1 species
CCCUUCGAUGUUCUGGGCCGCACGCGCGCUACACUGAUUGAGUCAACAAGUUUACAACCUUUUCCGAAAGGAAUGGGUAAUCUUUUGAAACUCAAUCGUGAUAGGGAUAGAUGAUUGCAAUUUUUCAUCUUCAACGAGGAAUGCCUAGUAAACGCAAGUCAUCAGCUUGCAUUGAUUACGUCCCUGCCCUUUGUACACACCGCCCGUCGCUCCUACCGAUUGAAUGAUCCGAUGAAUAUCAUGGAUUGAGGAUUAUAGCAGGUUCGCCUGUCUUGAUCUUCGAGAAGUGAAGUAAAUCUUAUCAUUUAGAGGAAGGAGAAGUCGUAACA